rnacentral:tRNA from 1 species
GCCGACGUAGCUCAGUGGUAGAGCAGCCGCCUCGUAAGCGGCAGGCCAAGGGUUCGAAUCCCUUCGUCGGCUCCA